rnacentral:rRNA from 1 species
AACGAACGCUGGUGGCACGUUUUAAGCAUGCAAGUCGAACGGCAGUGGGGGCAACCCCAUGAGAGUGGCGAACGGGUGAGUAACACGUAGGUGAUCUGCCUUUGGGUUGGGGAUAGCUUGUGGAAACACAGGGCAAUACCGAAUGAGCUGACGAGGCUUUGGCCAUGUUAGUAAAGGUGCUACGGCACCGCCUAGAGAGGAGCCUGCGGCUGAUUAGCUAGUUGGUGGGGUAAAGGCCUACCAAGGCGACGAUCAGUAGCCGGCCUGAGAGGGUGUACGGCCACACUGGAACUGAGACACGGUCCAGACUCCUACGGGAGGCAGCAGCUAAGAAUCUUCCGCAAUGGGCGAAAGCCUGACGGAGCGAUGCCGCGUGAUCGAUGAAGGUCGAGAGAUUGUAAAGAUCUUUUCCAACUGAGGAAUAAGUGGACCAGGGAAUGGGUUCAUGAUGACGUUAAGUUGGGAAUAAGCCCCGGCUAAUUACGUGCCAGCAGCCGCGGUAA